rnacentral:rRNA from 1 species
AACGAACGCUGGCGGCAGGCUUAACACAUGCAAGUCGAGCGCCCCGCAAGGGGAGCGGCAGACGGGUGAGUAACGCGUGGGAAUCUACCCAUCUCUACGGAACAACUCCGGGAAACUGGAGCUAAUACCGUAUACGUCCUACGGGAGAAAGUUUUAUCGGGGAUGGAUGAGCCCGCGUUGGAUUAGCUAGUUGGUGGGGUAAUGGCCCACCAAGGCGACGAUCCAUAGCUGGUCUGAGAGGAGGAUCAGCCACACUGGGACUGAGACAGGGCCCAGACUCCUACGGGAGGCAGCAGUGGGGAAUUUUGACAAUGGGCGACAGCCUGAUCCCGCCAUGCCGCGUGAGUGAUGAAGGCCCUAGGGUUGUAAAGCUCUUUCACCGGUGAAGAUAAUGACGGUAACCGGAGAAGAAGCCCCGGCUAACUUCGUGCCAGCCGCCGCGGUAAUAC